CCUACGGGAGGCAGCAGUGGGGAAUAUUGGACAAUGGGGGGAACCCCGAUCCAGCCAUGCCGCGUGUGUGAAGAAGGCCCUCGGGUUGUAAAGCACUUUCAGUGAGGAAGAACGCCUGGUGGUUAAUACCCAUCAGGAAAGACAUCACUCACAGAAGAAGCACCGGCUAACUCCGUGCCAGCAGCCGCGGUAAUACGGAGGGUGCGAGCGUUAAUCGGAAUUACUGGGCGUAAAGCGCGCGUAGGUGGCUUGAUAAGCCGGUUGUGAAAGCCCCGGGCUCAACCUGGGAACGGCAUCCGGAACUGUCAAGCUAGAGUGCAGGAGAGGAAGGUAGAAUUCCCGGUGUAGCGGUGAAAUGCGUAGAGAUCGGGAGGAAUACCAGUGGCGAAGGCGGCCUUCUGGACUGACACUGACACUGAGGUGCGAAAGCGUGGGUAGCAAACAGGAUUAGAUACCCCAGUAGUC
rnacentral:rRNA from 1 species